rnacentral:rRNA from 1 species
AUUGAACGCUGGCGGCAGGCCUAACACAUGCAAGUCGAGCGAGCGGCGGACGGGUGAGUAAUGUAUGGGGACUGCCCGAUAGAGGGGGAUAACUACUGGAAACGGUAGCUAAUCACGCAUACUAUCGGAUAACCCAUAUGGGAUUAGCUAGUUGGUGGGGUAAUGGCUCACCAAGGCGACGAUCCCUAGCUGGUCUGAGCGGAUGAUCAGCCACACUGGGACUGAGACCCGGCCCAGACUCCUACGGAGGCAGCAGUGGGGAAUAUUGCACAAUGGGCGCAAGCCUGAUGCAGCCAUGCCGCGUGUAUGAAGAAGGCCCUAGGGUUGUAAAGUACUUUCAGUCGGGAGGCGUUACCGACAGAAGAAGCACCGGCUAACUCCGUGCCAGCAGCCGCGGUAAUUC